CCCCCCGCCCUUGCAGGUGCUGCUCAAGAACCACUCCCUCCAAGAUGUUUUCCUGGAUUUCCUCAGCCUAAAAUAAUCCCUCUUUUUCCUGAGAGUGUUGGGCAGUGCUGAGAAAAGGUUUUUGGGGUCAGAGAUGUAAGGACUUCUCUGACUGGCUUCUCCCAACAGAACCAGAUUCCAGUUGUGGAGCAAGGGCCAUGCCAUCUGGAACAGAUGACCUCCAAGGACACCAUAGCAAAGAAAAGGAGAACUGGAAGCCCAUGUGCCUUAAUCCCCUCAUCCCAGAGCAAUGCAAGAAUGGGCUAAUACAAAGUUGAUUCCAAC